AUUGAACGCUGGCGGCAGGCCUAACACAUGCAAGUCGAGCGGAUGAAGGGAGCUUGCUCCUGGAUUCAGCGGCGGACGGGUGAGUAAUGCCUAGGAAUCUGCCUGGUAGUGGGGGAUAACGUCCGGAAACGGGCGCUAAUACCGCAUACGUCCUGAGGGAGAAAGUGGGGGAUCUUCGGACCUCACGCUAUCAGAUGAGCCUAGGUCGGAUUAGCUAGUUGGUGGGGUAAAGGCCCACCAAGGCGACGAUCCGUAACUGGUCUGAGAGGAUGAUCAGUCACACUGGAACUGAGACACGGUCCAGACUCCUACGGGAGGCAGCAGUGGGGAAUAUUGGAAAAUGGGCGAAAGCCUGAUCCAGCCAUGCCGCGUGUGUGAAGAAGGUCUUCGGAUUGUAAAGCACUUUAAGUUGGGAGGAAGGGCAGUAAGUUAAUACCUUGCUGUUUUGACGUUACCAACAGAAUAAGCACCGGCUAACUUCGUG
rnacentral:rRNA from 1 species